UUAGCAUUCAUGUAUGUCAGUUUUUGACUCAUUGUUAUAGAGCCUAUUUCCUAUGUGAGACUAUGAUAAGGGUUACAUGGUAAUCACAAGGCUAUUUCCUAUUUGAGACCAUGAUAAGGGUUACAUGGAAAUCACAAGGUCAUUUCCUAUUUAAGACCAUAAUAAGGGUGACAUGGUAAUCACAAGGCCAUUUCCUAUUUGAGACCAUGAUAAGGGUUACAUGGUAAUCACAAGGUCAUUUCCUGUUUGAGACCAUGAUAAGGGUGACAUGGUAAUCACAAGGCCAUUUCCUAUUUGAGACCAUGAUAAGGGUGACAUGGUAAUCACAAGGCCAUUUCCUAUUUGAGACCAUGAUAAGGGUGACAUGGUAAUCACAAGGCCAUUUCCUAUUUGAGACCAUGAUAAGGGUGACAUGGUAAUCACAAGGCCAUUUCCUAUUUGAGACCAUGAUAAGGGUGACAUGGUAAUCACAAGGCCAUUUCCUAUUUGAGACCAUGAUAAGGGUGACAUGGUAAACACAAGGCCAUUUCCUAUGUGGGACAAUGAUA